GACUACAGGUAGCAGCAGUGGGGAAUAUUGGACAAUGGGCGAAAGCCUGAUCCAGCCAUGCCGCGUGUGUGAAGAAGGCCUUCGGGUUGUAAAGCACUUUCAGUGGGGAAGAAAGCCUUGGGGCUAAUACCCUCGAGGAAGGACAUCACCCACAGAAGAAGCACCGGCUAACUCCGUGCCAGCAGCCGCGGUAAUACGGAGGGUGCGAGCGUUAAUCGGAAUUACUGGGCGUAAAGCGCGCGUAGGCGGUCUGAUAAGCCGGUUGUGAAAGCCCCGGGCUCAACCUGGGAACGGCAUCCGGAACUGUCAGGCUAGAGUGCAGGAGAGGAAGGUAGAAUUCCCGGUGUAGCGGUGAAAUGCGUAGAGAUCGGGAGGAAUACCAGUGGCGAAGGCGGCCUUCUGGACUGACACUGACGCUGAGGUGCGAAAGCGUGGGUAGCAAACAGGAUUAGAUACCCUUGUAGUC
rnacentral:rRNA from 1 species